rnacentral:rRNA from 1 species
AGCGGGAAAAGCUCAAAUUUAAAAUCUGGCGGUCUUUGGCCGUCCGAGUUGUAAUCUAGAGAAGUGUUACCCGCGUUGGACCGUGUACAAGUCUCCUGGAAUGGAGCGUCAUAGAGGGUGAGAAUCCCGUCUUUGACACGGACUACCGAGGCUUUGUGGUAUGCUCUCAAAGAGUCGAGUUGUUUGGGAAUGCAGCUCAAAAUGGGUGGUAAAUUCCAUCUAAAGCUAAAUAUUGGCGAGAGACCGAUAGCGAACAAGUACCGUGAGGGAAAGAUGAAAAGAACUUUGGAAAGAGAGUUAAACAGUACGUGAAAUUGCUGAAAGGGAAACGCUUGAAGUCAGUCGCGUUGGCUUGGGAUCAGCUUCGCUUUUGCGUGGUGUACUUCCUAGUUGACGGGUCAGCAUCAAUUUUGACCGCUGGAAAAAGGUUUGGGGAAGGUGGCAGUUUCGGCUGUGUUAUAGCCCCUUGUCAUAUACAGCGAUUGGGAUUGAGGUACUCAGCACGCCGCAAGGCCGGGUUUCGACCACGAUCGUGCUUAGGAUGCUGGCAUAAUGGCUUUAAGCGACCCGUCUUGAAACACGGACCAAGGAGUCUAACAUGCCUGCGAGUGUUUGGGUGGAAAACCCGAGCGCGUAAUGAAAGUGAAAGUUGAGAUCCCUGUCGUGGGGAGCAUCGACGCCCGGACCAGAACUUUUGGGACGGAUCCGCGGUAGAGCAUGUAUGUUGGGACCCGAAAGAUGGUGAACUAUGCCUGAAUAGGGUGAAGCCAGAGGAAACUCUGGUGGAGGCUCGUAGCGAUUCUGACGUGCAAAUCGAUCGUCGAAUUUGGGUAUAGGGGGCGAAAGACUAAUCGAACCAUCUAGUA